AUUAAGUUAACGUAGAUCAACCCAAAUGAGAAACAGCUGGAGGAGAUCUGAAGUCCCACUCAGUUGAGAAUGGAGCCUGAGUCAAUCGGAAGAGGGCACAACUGGAAAAGAACUGAACGUCAGCAACUCCUCGAGGGUGGCGGUGAGGGGGGCGAUCCUAUCACACAGCAAGCUGGAUCCAUCCUGGAUACGGGGCAGGCACACGGACACCCACACCAGGGUUAAGAGAGGCUGAGGUUAG
rnacentral:lncRNA from 1 species